GAAGAACCUAUUGUAUUGGGCUUAGGGCAAAGGAUAAGCAUGGUGGUUAAUAUAGCUGAUGCAUUGGCCUACUUGCACCAUGAUUCUAGAAGAUCCAUUGUCCAUCGUGAUUUGAAGCCUAGCAACAUCCUCCUAGAUGUUGAUAUGAAUGCACAUUUGGGUGACUUUGGCAUUGCAAACCUCGUACUUCAAUCUGGGUCCGCAACAGUUGGACAGUCAAGUUCAGGCACAAGUUCAAACAACUCAGUCGGAUUGAAGGGGACUAUAGGAUAUAUAGCUCCAGGUAAUGGCCAUCGCCAGAUCUUGUAUUUGUUUAAGAUUGUAACAUGGAUAUUUAAGAUCUAUAGUGUACCAUUACUCAAUUAG
rnacentral:rRNA from 1 species